rnacentral:rRNA from 1 species
ACAUGCAAGUCGAACGGUAACAGGAAGAAGCUUGCUUCUUUGCUGACGAGUGGCGGACGGGUGAGUAAUGUCUGGGAAACUGCCUGAUGGAGGGGGAUAACUACUGGAAACGGUAGCUAAUACCGCAUAACGUCGCAAGACCAAAGAGGGGGACCUUCGGGCCUCUUGCCAUCGGAUGUGCCCAGAUGGGAUUAGCUAGUAGGUGGGGUAACGGCUCACCUAGGCGACGAUCCCUAGCUGGUCUGAGAGGAUGACCAGCCACACUGGAACUGAGACACGGUCCAGACUCCUACGGGAGGCAGCAGUGGGGAAUAUUGCACAAUGGGCGCAAGCCUGAUGCAGCCAUGCCGCGUGUAUGAAGAAGGCCUUCGGGUUGUAAAGUACUUUCAGCGGGGAGGAAGGGAGUAAAGUUAAUACCUUUGCUCAUUGACGUUACCCGCAGAAGAAGCACCGGCUAACUCCGUGCCAGCAGCCGCGGUAAUACGGAGGGUGCAAGCGUUAAUCGGAAUUACUGGGCGUAAAGCGCACGCAGGCGGUUUGUUAAGUCAGAUGUGAAAUCCCCGGGCUCAACCUGGGAACUGCAUCUGAUACUGGCAAGCUUGAGUCUCGUAGAGGGGGGUAGAAUUCCAGGUGUAGCGGUGAAAUGCGUAGAGAUCUGGAGGAAUACCGGUGGC